UUCUUAUCCAGAGCGGCGGAGGGACUGGCCCGAUGAAGCCCGGUAACCGUCUUGCGGGGAGGCGACUUCGGUGAGGGCAACGGCCGCAAGGCACCUCGUUCGAUCGCCAACCGGUCCACGGGCCGCUCAUGGGUGGUGCCAUGGAUGUGGA
rnacentral:ncRNA from 11 species